rnacentral:rRNA from 1 species
UACGGAGGGUGCAAGCGUUAUCCGGAUUUACUGGGUUUAAAGGGUGCGUAGGUGGGCCUGUAAGUCAGUGGUGAAAUCUUCAAGCUUAACUUGGAAACUGCCAUUGAUACUAUAGGUCUUGAAUUAUCUGGAGGUAAGCGGAAUAUGUCAUGUAGCGGUGAAAUGCUUAGAGAUGACAUAGGACACCCAUUGCGAAGGCAGCUUACUACGGAUUGAUUGACACUGAGGCACGAAAGCGUGGGGAUCAAACAGG